CCCUCUUUUGUGCUCGGAGAAAGCACCGCACGAAGCUCUUGGUUUUAGAUCUCCCAGAAGAGAUGUUUACUAAUUCAGAUAAAAUGUUGAGAAUUUAUCGAUGUUCGUUUCUUUUCGAAGGGAGGGCGCUUUCCAAAACACUAAAUACAUAGGAUAGAACCUUAACUGCAGAACAUUUGGAGAGGAUAUAAACAUUGUACAGUUGCCUGGAGGGAAUUAGAGGAAGACUGGGACAAUUUGAGGUUAAUCCAGUACAGCGAUAUCGCCGGGAGUAAAACAGUCUGCUAUCAGAAUUUAAUUUGAACGAAGUUGGAGAUACCGUCGAAUGGGACCUGUUCUGGCCUGAUUUUACGAAAGAUAAACGACGGGAUGGGCACAUGGAAGAAUAAGAUGGAGAUGACAAGUAUUGACAACUCGGGAUUUAGGUAACGUGGAGCGACUAACAAAGAAAAGAAAUAGUGGGAAAAGCUAGAGGUUUAUCUGAUUUCGGAUUAUAUUUAGAAGUACACAAAAACGUGUUGAAAUCGGGAAAGGUCGAAGUAAAUAUCGUGACAUUUGGAUAGGCAAUGCAAACAUUGAGAUCCAUCCGAGAAGAGCAAAGACGUAGUCACGCAACAAGGAAAAUGACAGAAACCCAAACCUAUAGAUUAUUCGGCAAAACAGAUCACUCAAGCUAGAAGCCGAGACACAUGCGGGAAGAGAUACCAGAGGAGAACAAAAAAAAUCUUUGGUCUGCGGCUUUCAUGCUGGUCUA